rnacentral:rRNA from 1 species
AUUGAACGCUGGCGGCAGGCCUAACACAUGCAAGUCGAGCGGAUGAAGGGAGCUUGCUCCUGGAUUCAGCGGCGGACGGGUGAGUAAUGCCUAGGAAUCUGCCUGGUAGUGGGGGAUAACGUCCGGAAACGGGCGCUAACACCGCAUACGUCCUGAGGGAGAAAGUGGGGGAUCUUCGGACCUCACGCUAUCAGAUGAGCCUAGGUCGGAUUAGCUAGUUGGUGGGGUAAAGGCCUACCAAGGCGACGAUCCGUAACUGGUCUGAGAGGAUGAUCAGUCACACUGGAACUGAGACACGGUCCAGACUCCUACGGGAGGCAGCAGUGGGGAAUAUUGGACAAUGGGCGAAAGCCUGAUCCAGCCAUGCCGCGUGUGUGAAGGAGGUCUUCGGAUUGUAAAGCACUUUAAGUUGGGAGGAAGGGCAGUAAGUUAAUACCUUGCUGUUUUGACGUUACCAACAGAAUAAGCACCGGCUAACUUCGUG